CCGAGUUGAGCGUAAUGGUAGGCGCACCUAGUUACAAGCUAGGCGGCAAUGGAGUGGCAACUCCUAGCCCUACGGGUUCGAUUCCCGUAACUCGGA
rnacentral:tRNA from 1 species